rnacentral:snoRNA from 1 species
UGCACUUAUGCUGGUUUUUGUUCAGUUUUGGGGACAAAGACUUAGACUUGAGCGCAGAAAAUAAAUCCUCUUUUGCAACCCAGAACUCAUGGCUCAGUAUGAGUUUUGAUACAUGUAAGAAGGAACAAG